AACGAACGCUGGCGGCAUGCCUAACACAUGCAAGUCGAACGAGACCUUCGGGUCUAGUGGCGCACGGGUGCGUAACGCGUGGGAACCUGCCCUUAGGUUCGGAAUAACUCCCCGAAAGGGGUGCUAAUACCGGAUAAUGUCUUCGGACCAAAGAUUUAUCGCCUUUGGAUGGGCCCGCGUUGGAUUAGCUAGUUGGUAGGGUAAAAGCCUACCAAGGCGACGAUCCAUAGCUGGUCUGAGAGGAUGAGCAGCCACACUGGGACUGAGACACGGCCCAGACUCCUACGGGAGGCAGCAGUGGGGAAUAUUGGACAAGGGGCGAAAGCCUGAACCAGCAAGGCCGCGUGAGUGAUGAAGGCCUUAGGGUUGUAAAGCUCGUUUACCCGGGAUGAUAAUGACAGUACCGGGAGAAUAAGCUCCGGCUAACUCCGUG
rnacentral:rRNA from 1 species